AGUAGCGGGCUCGAGGAGUCGACCCUCGAGGCGCUUAUACGCGCAGUGCGAGGUGCCGACGCGCGAAAUGCCUAGUCGCGGGCUCGAGGAGUCGACGCUCGAUGCGCUUAUUCGCGCAGUCCAAGGUGCCGACGCGCGAAAUGCCUAGUCGCGGGCUCGAGGAGUCGACGCUCGAUGCGCUUAUUCGCGCAGUCCAAGGUGCCGACGCGCGAAAUGCCUAGUCGCGGGCUCGAGGAGUCGACGCUCGAUGCGCUUAUUCGCGCAGUCCAAGGUGCCGACGCGCGAAAUGCCUAGUCGCGGGCUCGAGGAGUCGACGCUCGAUGCGCUUAUUCGCGCAGUCCAAGGUGUCGACGCGCGAAAUGCCUAGUCGCGGGCUCGAGCAGUCGACCCUCG
rnacentral:lncRNA from 1 species